GGCUCAGGAUGAACGCUGGCGGCGUGCCUAACACAUGCAAGUCGAGCGUGAACCCUUAGAAUGAAACUUCGGUCGAAUGAAGAGGGGGAAAGCGGCGGACGGGUGAGUAACGCGUAGGCAACCUGCCCCGUACAGAGGGAUAGCCUCGGGAAACCGGGAUUAAAACCUCAUAAUACCAUGGUAUCACAUGAUGCAAUGGUCAAAGAUUUAUCGGUAUGGGAUGGGCCUGCGUCUGAUUAGCUGGUUGGUGGGGUAACGGCCUACCAAGGCAACGAUCAGUAGCCGACCUGAGAGGGUAAUCGGCCACAUUGGAACUGAGACACGGUCCAAACUCCUACGGGAGGCAGCAGUGGGGAAUAUUGCACAAUGGGCGAAAGCCUGAUGCAGCAACGCCGCGUGAGCGAAGAAGGCCUUUGGGUCGUAAAGCUCUGUCGGGAAGGAAGAUAAUGACGGUACUUCCCGAGGAAGCCCCGGCUAACUACGUGCCAGCAGCUGC
rnacentral:rRNA from 1 species